rnacentral:rRNA from 1 species
UACGGAGGAUGCGAGCGUUAUCCGGAUUUAUUGGGUUUAAAGGGUGCGUAGGCGGGAUGCCAAGUCAGCGGUAAAAAUGCGGUGCUCAACGCCGUCGAGCCGUUGAAACUGGCGUUCUUGAGUGGGCGAGAAGUAUGCGGAAUGCGUGGUGUAGCGGUGAAAUGCAUAGAUAUCACGCAGAACUCCGAUUGCGAAGGCAGCAUACCGGCGCCCUACUGACGCUGAGGCUCGAAAGCGUGAGGAGCAAACAGG